GCUAACUUUUUUAUUGUACUGAUCCACUUCAACCAAUCAUUAAGAUGACUUCAGAAGAUGCUAACUGAUGGACUGGAGUGGUGUGGGUUACUUGUGGAUUAUUGUGAUAUUUUUAUCAGCUGUUUGGACUCUCAUUCUGACGGCACCCAUUCACUGCAGAGGAUCCACUGGUGAACAAGUGAUGGAAUGCUAAAUUUCUCCAAAUCUUGAAUGGGCUGACGUUAAGGGAACUAUUUCUUUAAACUUAUUUACUUGAAAUAAGAAUGCAUAUUUGCAACUUUUUUUAUUGUACUGAUCCACUUCAACCAAUCAUUAAGAUGCUUUGGUUUUGGUUUUGUAUAUACAGGCAAAUGAAAGCAAAACCUAGUGAAAAGACAGAGGGUCAGGAUCCUUCUGUAAAGACAGAGGUCAAUCCUUCCCUGAACUCUGAAACAUCAGAUACCACACUCAAAGUACACACUUCAAACAGCAGAGGGUAUAAUGCCUCUAAAGCUCCGUCCUUCAGAAAUGUAACCAGGCAUGGACAUAAACUACCUAAACAGGCUCCCCCUAUUAUGACAGCAUUAGAAAAACAAGGAGAAUGUGAUGUCCAGUCAGAAAGUGUGCAUGAACUACAUAUCCAGGCCCCUCAAGUAGUGCUCUCUGCAAAUGACCAGGAUCCUCAUGAGGCACAGAGUGAAGAGGAUGGAAAUGAGAGCGUUGAAGGACACGUGCCGCUAGAAUUGUUUGCAGAGUUUCUACAGGCCGUGAUGACAAGGAAUUACAAACUUGCAAAGAAACUCUGUCAGAUGAGUAAGUAGCCAUGUGAAUUAGUAUUGUUUACAAUUGCCAUUUCUCAUUUAAAUCAUACUGAUGUUUUCAUCAUUCUUUAAAUUCUAGUUUUUAAUUUAUGAGCCUCAGAACUCAGAGGCUAAGAGCUUCCUGCCUCUCAACAUUUUUAACAAACGUUUUUUUUUUCCAAGUAUUUAAUAAUAUUCUCAAAAUGUUAGCACAGAAACAUUAUUUAUACAUCGUUCAUGGAACUUUUUUUUUUUUACGUUUAAGUUGGACGUUCAUCUAACAUUUAUCUAACAUUCAUAAAUGUUACUACUUGUUUUAGAAUUUUCAGAGAACAUUCAAAGCGUUCCCAUAAUGUUUACGGAAUGAUAAAAUGGAAUGUUCCUUUAACGUUCACAUAAGUUGAAACAUUUAAAAACUGGACGUUUUGAACGUUAAGGCAACAUUCAGAAAUAACUUUUUCCUAACUCAGUUGGAACAUUAGAAAAUGUUCUUAGAACAUAAUUUUGUUUAAUUAGGUCAUUUCUAUAAUAUAUAGUAGUUAUAAUAUUUUGAGUAGUCCAAUUAUCCAAAUGGUUUUUUAGCAGUGGCUGUGUUGAAUUCAAACGUCACUACACUUGUCGUGAAUUUUAUCCUCUUAAGUUUCAAGUAAUAUUUUUGAAAUAGCUGUUGCACGGUGAACACAA
rnacentral:lncRNA from 1 species